rnacentral:lncRNA from 10 species
AAAGUAGAUAAAUUGGACUUCACUAAAACUAAAAUUUCUGUAUUUCAAAGGACAACAUUAAGGUAGUUAAAAUACAAGCACAGAAUGGGAGAAAAUAUUUGCAAAUUAUCCUAUCAACUCAACAAUAAAAACACAAAUAACACGACUGAAAAGUGGACAAAGGAUUAGAAUAGAUAGACAUUUCUCCCACUAUACAAAUGGACCAAUAAGCACACAAAAAGAUGUUCAACAUCAUUAGCCACCAGGGAAAUGCAAAUCUAAACCACAUGAGACGGCACUUCACAUCCAACAGAAAAUCUAGACUCGAAAAUACAAGUGAUAACAAGCAUCAAAAAAGACAUGAAGAGGCACUGCGCCUGGCCGUGAUUACCAUAUUUCUGAAAGACAUAAUACUUUUGU